CCCAGCAACAUGCGCCCCAUGAAACAGGCCAGGCUCCUCACUGCUGCCUCCUCAUUCCUGCUGUGGAACAGACCAUGAAGCUUCCAUCGCAACCGAGAACCUUCUAAGACCCAGCAAGGUAUGGUUUCGCCAGGUGCUGACUUCAUGGACUCUCAAAAGAAAUCGGGUGUGGAAGGAAACAGGAGGCGAGUCUGCAGCAGGCUUUAACUGAAGCGCACCUUGAACUGCCAACGGUCUCCCAAGGCUGACGGCUAGGUUUAUGGGGCAGGUCUUGCCUGACGAACUUGGGAAGGUUCUCUGCAGAUAGAAUGGUGUGCUUGGCCGGCAGCACGCUGCUGACAGCACCCCAUCGAAGGAGGGCAUUUGGUGAGACUCCGUAUCAAAGUGUGCUGCUUGUCCCUCGAGGUCAGGCUAGGGCGAGCCUCAGAGACCACAACAGAGCUGAGGAGGAGGAGCAGUGAGAUACCUUCUCCAGCCCAAAAGAACCUUCCAGAAGGGCACCUCAGGGGACUGCUUUCAGCUCUCCUGUUUACAUUAGUCAUCAGCGUCUUGGGGAACAAAAUGGGACAAUGAAGAUUCCAAGGGGACAAAUAACACGCAGUGGUAACAUUUGAAGUCCAAAGCUCUCUGCUUAUGGUGUUGUCACUCUUGCUGCAAAGGGCGUUGUGACUGAGGAGCGGGUCACAGCCUCCAUCGGAGGUGCACGGAAGCCCACACAAAUGUCUAUAGGCAUUUAAGGGGAGGGGAAAAAUAAGCAGACCUCUCCACAUUUCUACUGACUACUGGGGGGACAAAAACCCAGUGAAAUGCAAACUUGAGAAUUUAAAAAGAAUAGUACUUUUCUAACCUAUCAACAAGAUUUAGAAGAAAAAUAAUUCUAACUUAUAAAUAGUGAAUGUCGAUCUAUAUUGUAUUAACUGGCCUUCGACAAAGACUUUGCCCACCGAUGUGCUGGGGAACGCAUGGCAAACAGAUCAACAACAGUAGGAGGGUUUGAGAAAAGAAGGAACCCAGAAACACACACACUGAGCAUGCAAGAUAAUAUUAAAAGUUUGGGAAAAAUAAAUAUAUUUAUCAAAAAGCA